rnacentral:rRNA from 1 species
AGUAACGCGUGGGUAACCUGCCUCAUACAGGGGGAUAACAGUUAGAAAUGACUGCUAAUACCGCAUAAGCGCACAGUGCUGCAUGGCACAGUGUGAAAAACUCCGGUGGUAUGAGAUGGACCCGCGUCUGAUUAGCUAGUUGGUGGGGUAACGGCCUACCAAGGCGACGAUCAGUAGCCGACCUGAGAGGGUGACCGGCCACAUUGGGACUGAGACACGGCCCAA